CUACGGGCUGCUCCAGUGAGGAAUAUUGCACAAUGGGGGGAACCCUGAUGCAGCAACGCCGCGUGGAGGAUGACGCAUUUCGGUGUGUAAACUCCUUUUAUAUGUCAAGAAAAUGACGGUAGCAUAUGAAUAAGCACCAGCUAACUCCGUGCCAGCAGCCGCGGUAAUACGGAGGGUGCAAGCGUUAAUCGGAAUCACUGGGCGUAAAGGACGCGUAGGCGGGCUUGUAAGUCAGGUGUGAAAUCCUACAGCUUAACUGUAGAACUGCACUUGAAACUACGAGCCUAGAGUAUGGGAGGGGCAGAUGGAAUUAGUGGUGUAGGGGUAAAAUCCGUAGAUAUCACUAGGAAUACCUAAAGCGAAGGCGAUCUGCUGGAACAUAACUGACGCUAAGGCGUGAAAGCGUGGGGAGCAAACAGGAUUAGAUACCCUAGUAGUC
rnacentral:rRNA from 1 species